AUUUAGUUUCGACCUUUUGAUUGAAAUUGAACAUGUAUAUUUUGUUUUCAAAACAAAUUC
rnacentral:tRNA from 1 species